rnacentral:rRNA from 1 species
UACGUAGGGAGCAAGCGUUGUUCGGAUUUACUGGGCGUAAAGGGCGCGUAGGCGGCAUAAUUAAGUCAUCUGUGAAAUCUCCGAGCUUAACUCGGAAACUGUCAGCUGAUACUGAUGUGCUAGAGUGCGGAAGGGGCAAUCGGAAUUCUUGGUGUAGCGGUGAAAUGCGUAGAUAUCAAGAGGAACACCUGAGGUGAAGACGGGUUGCUGGGCCGACACUGACGCUGAGUGCGCGAAAGCCAGGGGAGCAAACGGG